CGAAGACCUAGCGGAGGGGGUGGGGAGGUGGGGUGCUCCCCCGGCUGUCUCCAACGCGUGACCGGCACCCUCCACUGAGCCUAGCUACUCAGACAAAUACGAAAUAGGGCUGCUAGGAGGGAUGAGUAGGCCUAAACUCAGUCUUCCGCUGCGCGGGGCUGGAAACCGCUGUCCCGAGGGCCGAAGGGAGCGGAGCCGAGGUGACUCAGGGCCGAUCCGAGGGUCGGGGCCAAGUGAGGACUUGGAGACAAAUAGAAGACUAUGUGGAGAGUGGCUUGUGUAUGCGUCCUGGGCAGAGAAACUUCUUGGACUGGGUUAAUAUUAAUAAGAGGCUCAGAAAGGACACCGAUUCCCUUGGGCAAAGUGCUGGUGCUGGCCAAAGGCCCUUCCCUCUGACCCUCUCGUGAGAAGCAGAGCUGCUGUCAAGACACUGCGUGCCAUCAUGGGACACGGGUUCAAGCCCUGGUCCGGGAAGAUCCCACA